GCUCGUCGCCGGCCCUCAGCUCAAACAGUCCUCCCUGGUAGACAGAGUGGAGGGCGUACUCGGCGUCUGGAGCCCAGCACUUUGUUCCCACCCCCUUCAGGAGCUGCACAGAAGUGAAAAUUAAGGACAGAGAUGUCUGCCCAUUCCCAGGGUUAGAUCACGUUAGACCAACUGAGAACUUUCCGUCCAAUUCACCGCUGGCAAAUCAGGAUCACAUCACUAUUUGGUUAAGCACCAUGGCUCCCUCUUCUUCCGGAUCUGACCUCAGUCAAAAUGAUGAAGAGAUGGUCACAAGAGGAAGAAGAGGAGGAGGAGGAGAGGAUGUGGAGGAGUGUUCUUUUGGAUUGAUUCUCUGUUUCUCUUGGACCUCGCCUUUGUAUUUUUGAAUUCCGAUUAUUGCUUGCUCCCUUGUUCUUGUAUGUUGGACCGCUUCUCUGGUUUUGACCACUGCCUGCCUGAUAUCCG